rnacentral:lncRNA from 1 species
ACAUGAGUUCAGGUGUUUCUGGAGGCUAGAGGUGUGGCACCUUCCAAAGCUGGAAUUACAGGCAGUAAUGGACACUCAAGGUCAGUGCUAAGAACUGAAUGUGGGUGCUCUGAGAGAGCAGUAGUGCGCGCUUUUAGCUGCUGAGCCAUUCACUCUGCCUCUUCCCUGCCUUAUUUUAAACUCUUACUGGCAAUGAACAAGGGGAAAAGACAUUUAUCUGUAGCAAACUUUCCGUUUUCAUUUCGUUAGCAUCAAAAUUACCAGUGUGGACUUUAGCCUGUGAUCAUAUUUCCUUUCUCCCUUCAGCCCCCAGCAUCCUUCCUGCUUGUUCUUCCAGUAUAAUACACAGCUGGGUCCACCUUACCACAUCCUGGUGGAUACCAACUUCAUCAACUUUUCCAUUAAAGCCAAACUGGACUUAGUGCAGUCAAUGAUGGACUGUCUGUACGCCAAGUGUAUCCCUUGUAUAACCGAUUGUGUAAUGGCUGAAAUUGAGAAAUUAGGACAGACCGAUUGCCAUGCACACACAAAGGAACCUAUGCCGAUGACUGCCUGGUGCAGAGGGUAACUCAGCACAAGUGUUACAUUGUGGCCACAGUUGACCGUGACCUCAAACGAAGAAUCCGGAAGAUCCCUGGUGUCCCAAUCAUGUACCUUUCUAACCACAGAUACAACAUCGAGCGGAUGCCAGAUGAUUAUGGAGCCCCUCGCUUCUAAUUCUCACUCCACAGAAUCUGCCUGCUGUUCUUGGACCAGCUUUCUCUCAUCAAUUAAUUAAACACUUUCUGAUUUUUAAAGA